AUUGAACGCUGGCGGCAUGCUUUACACAUGCAAGUCGGGCGAGCGGCGGACGGGUGAGUAACGCCUCGGAACGUACCGAGUAAUGGGGGAUAACUGCUCGAAAGGACAGCUAAUACCGCAUACUAUUCGAUCGGCCGAUGUCUGAUUAGCUGGUUGGGGGGGUAAUGGCCCACCUAGGCGACGAUCCGUAGCGGGUCUGAGAGGAUGAUCAGCCAAACUGGGAGUUAGACACGGCCCAGACUCCUACGGGAGGCAGCAGUGGUGAAUAUUGGACAAUGGGCGCAAGCCUGAGCCAGCCAUGCGGCGUGUGUGAAGAAGUCCUUCGGGUUGUAAAGGAUGUUCGUCGAGGAGGCGGUACCCGAAGAAUAAGCACCGGCUAACUCCGUGCCAGCAGCCGCGGUAAUAC
rnacentral:rRNA from 1 species